rnacentral:misc_RNA from 1 species
UACGUAGGUGGCAAGCGUUGUCCGGAAUUAUUGGGCGUAAAGGGCUCGCAGGCGGGUUCUUAAGUCUGAUGUGAAAGCCCCCGGCUCAACCGGGGAGGGUCAUUGGAAACUGGGGGACUUGAGUGCAGAAGAGGAGAGUGGAAUUCCACGUGUUGCGGUGAAAUGCGUAGAGAUGUGGAGGAACACCAGUGGCGAAGGCGACUCUCUGGUCUGUAGCUGACGCUGAGGAGCGAAAGCGUGGGGAGCAAACAGG